UCUUAGCUGUCUUCGUAUACGUUUCUCACUUAGGCUUCAUCAUACAGGGUGUUGUUAACAGCCACGAGUCAAAAAAGAUUGUGUGCCUUUAUUCGAUCUUUUUAUUUUAUCAUAUUUUCAGCUCGACAGAUCCUCGAAGGACAACAGGCAGUUGUCGAAACACAGCGAACUUCAAGCUGUCAAAGUUUGACGUGUGACAUCGAAUCCUCACUAUGAUGAAAGUAACAUUAGUCGUACUGUUGCUCAUGUCAACCUACGUCUGCAGAACAGCACAGGACGGAAUUUGGACUCAACUCAUUUUCACAUUAGUGAAGAAUUUAGCCACUCUUUGACAAAGUGGUGAUAUUCAGUUUCUA